rnacentral:siRNA from 1 species
UCAUAUGGUACAUUCCCCUA